GAAUAGAUAAAUCCACAGUGAGAGAAAACAGUCCCAGUAGUUAUCAGGGACUGGAGAGAGGGAAGAAUGAGAAGUGACUACUUCAUGGAUACAAGGUUUUCUCUGGGGGUGAUGAAAAUAUUUUGACAUCUGAUAAAGGUGGUGGUAGUACAGCACUGUGAAUGUACCAAUUGCCACUGAAUUGUGCAUUUUAAAGUGAUUGAUUUUAUGUGGAACAAAUUUCACUUUAAUUAUAAAAAGUGAAUAAACUUUUAGAAGCUAACCUUGGAAGAAGGUAGAGACUGGAAGGGAUCACAAGAAAGGCUUCUGGGAUGUUGGUUGAUUUCUCUAAGAAGUACAUGCUGAAAUGAAGAUAAGAGUACAAAAUAUUUAUCGGAGAGUAGUAACACAGAGGAGACACAGGAUUUGGCAGAAACACUAAACCAUGGUGAAGACCGGCUAAAGUCUCUUUGUCCAAAGGGGAGCUCUAAAGUAAAUAUGAGCCAUUAAGGGAGCCCCACACUGGAUGGAAAUGGCCAAGCCUUUUUACAACCACCUUCUCCUUGAGACACUGCCUGCAAUUCACCCUGGGAAAGCAAAACCUCAACUGUUUCUGCCUCAUUCAUUCUUUGUCAGUGCCGUAAGAAGAUUGAGAUUUCAGCUUGUAACUGUUGAAGCAAAACCUAAAGUGGUUAAUAAUGGGAGUUUGUCACAACUAUCUUAACACAAAUAUAAAAUAUUUGCAUGAACUGUAAUAACCUUUUAUUUAUAAAUUAAAAACUUAUUGAUAAAAUACAGAUUUCAAUAACAUUAGUAAAAAAUCUUUUCACUUUUCUUAAGUAAUUCAGAAUAGAUCAUCUUUCAUUUUAGUUCCUACACUUGAUCCUUAGAAGAAAAAGAAACCUAUUUUUUUUAUAAUGCAAACACUUUAGUUUAACAUAAACAAGAAAAAGGGAAGACUGGCUGAGAAAAAAAAACUCUAAAAACCAUCUAGCAUAUUCAAAAGAUAAUUCAUGCCUUUGAGAUCAUUUAAGCAGUACAUCACCUUUAGUUAUAAAGAGAAAUGUGAAACUAUUUUUACAAUUAAUUACAUCUAUCAGCAGGAAAUAAAAUGUAUUCAAAAUUGACCUGUAUAUGAGUGAUGGUUGUAACAGAGUUAUUGAUUUUUCCUGUUGGGAAAUGCCAUCCAAAACUGGCAUGAUCUUUUCAAGUAAACUCAAAAUCCGAACAAUGUCUUCAAAAGUAGGCAUGUUGUUAACAAUGGUCCCUGCUGUUUUCUAUGAAUGGGCAGUAAUAUUCUCUAUAACAUUAGCCCUUGGAAAUUAAAAUGUCCUUUGUUGAAAACAGA
rnacentral:lncRNA from 1 species